rnacentral:rRNA from 1 species
UACCAGCACCCCGAGUGGUCGGGACGUUUAUUGGGCCUAAAGCAUCCGUAGCCGGUUCUACAAGUCUUCCGUUAAAUCCAACUGCUUAACAGGUGGGCUGCGGAAGAUACUAUAGAGCUAGGAGGCGGGGAGAGGCAAGCGGUACUCGAUGGGUAGGGGUAAAAUCCGUUGAUCCAUUGAAGACCACCAGUGGCGAAGGCGGCUUGCCAGAACGCGCUCGACGGUGAGGAUGA